GACGAACGCUGGCGGCGUGCUUAACACAUGCAAGUCGAACGAGAUCCAUGGAGUAGCAAUACUCCGGAAGAUCUAGUGGCGAACGGGUGAGUAACACGUGAGCAACCUGCCCCAAAGACUGGGAUAACCCCGGGAAACCGGAGCUAAUACCGGAUGUCCUCGUCGGAUCGCAUGGUCUGAUGAGGAAAUGAAUUUCGCUUUGGGAGGGGCUCGCGGGAUAUCAGCUGUUGGUGGGGUAACGGCCUACCAAGGCUUCGACGUCUAGCUGGUCUGAGAGGACGAUCAGCCACACUGGGACUGAGACACGGCCCAGACUCCUACGGGAGGCAGCAGUGGGAAUCUUGCCCAAUGGGGAAACCCUGAGCAGCAACGCCGCGUGCGGGAUGACGGC
rnacentral:rRNA from 1 species